GGCUGGAAACGUUGAAUGCUCCAGUUCCCUAUGGAUCACUGAAGUUAAGCAACGUUUUGCAUGGUUAGUAUCCAGAUGGGUGACGAUCUGGGUAAUCGCGUGCUGCUC
rfam:Asian citrus Psyllid, Diaphorina citri - Florida Strain, whole genome shotgun sequence.